rnacentral:rRNA from 1 species
AUUGAACGCUGGCGGCAGGCCUAACACAUGCAAGUCGAGCGGAUGAGAGGAGCUUGCUCCUGGAUUCAGCGGCGGACGGGUGAGUAAUGCCUAGGAAUCUGCCUGGUAGUGGGGGACAACGUUUCGAAAGGAACGCUAAUACCGCAUACGUCCUACGGGAGAAAGCAGGGGACCUUCGGGCCUUGCGCUAUCAGAUGAGCCUAGGUCGGAUUAGCUAGUUGGUGAGGUAAUGGCUCACCAAGGCGACGAUCCGUAACUGGUCUGAGAGGAUGAUCAGUCACACUGGAACUGAGACACGGUCCAGACUCCUACGGGAGGCAGCAGUGGGGAAUAUUGGACAAUGGGCGAAAGCCUGAUCCAGCCAUGCCGCGUGUGUGAAGAAGGUCUUCGGAUUGUAAAGCACUUUAAGUUGGGAGGAAGGGUUGUAGAUUAAUACUCUGCAAUUUUGACGUUACCGACAGAAUAAGCACCGGCUAA